UCCAAGGACAGUGAUGUAUAAGCCUCCACGGGUGCCAUCUUGGUGGGUUCAGUGCGCAGGAAAGUGCCUAUAUCUCGAGAACCCGAACCCGGGUCCGAGUGCAUCUUCUUACUUUUCUUCCCCAUGUCAUCGGGGAUUGAGCCGUAGCACUUUGAGCUCAGUAGCGGGGUCGAAAACGGCUCGUGGCUCAGUUUGGUAGGACCGACACGCGGAUCUGCUCCAAAACGCAUCUAGCUCAUGUAGGCGCUGGCUCCGCCUCCGAUCACUUCUGCUUUUUAAAGUGGGCAUGGUAGUAAGAGUCUGUAUCAAGCAGAAAUGCUGCACAUACAGAGAUACGGAUCUGUGUUCUAGGCUACUUAAUGUUAAUCAUG